AAACAAGAGGAGGCACCCCCUGAGAAUCUGGAUGUUACACCUGAGGAAGAGGAAGCAGAUGCAGGAGCACCUGAGCUUCCAGGGACUGACCUGGAAGCUGAUACCCAAGAAAUGGUGAUACUAAUGACUAAGGGUGAACGUGGAGAUAAUCCUGAAGUCAUUGGGCAACCUUAUGCAAAUCCAGAGCCCAUUGGAAUGCUGGAAGCAGGAGAAGGGAAACCACCCGUUUAAGGGAAGAUGAUCUGAAGACACACAGAUUAUUCUUUUUUUUUUUUUUCACACAGAUUAUUCUUAAGUUGGAUACUAUAGUGUUAAAUAAAGUUCUCUCAAUAAAGUUUUGCAGCAUUUUCCAAGGAAUCUUGCAAAUCUUUCG